rnacentral:rRNA from 1 species
GUGGGGAAUUUUGGACAAUGGGCGCAAGCCUGAUCCAGCCAUGCCGCGUGCAGGAUGAAGGCCUUCGGGUUGUAAACUGCUUUUGUACGGAACGAAAAGGUUUGGCCUAAUACGCUGGACUCAUGACGGUACCGUAAGAAUAAGCACCGGCUAACUACGUGCCAGCAGCCGCGGUAAUACGUAGGGUGCGAGCGUUAAUCGGAAUUACUGGGCGUAAAGCGUGCGCAGGCGGUUAUGUAAGACAGAUGUGAAAUCCCCGGGCUCAACCUGGGAACUGCAUUAGUGACUGCAUAGCUGGAGUACGGCAGAGGGGGAUGGAAUUCCGCGUGUAGCAGUGAAAUGCGUAGAUAUGCGGAGGAACACCGAUGGCGAAGGCAAUCCCCUGGGCCUGUACUGACGCUCAUGCACGAAAGCGUGGGGAGCAAACAGGAUUAGAAACCCUAGUAGUCC